UACAGAGGGUGCUAGCGUUAAUCGGAAUUACUGGGCGUAAAGGGCGCGUAGGUGGUAAGGUAAGUAAGAUGUGAAAUCCCUGGGCUUAACCUGGGAAGGGCAUCUUAAACUACCUCACUAGAGUACAGUAGAGGGUAGUGGAAUUUCCGGUGUAGCGGUGAAAUGCGUAGAGAUCGGAAGGAACGCCAGUGGUGAAGACGACUGCCUGGACUGAUACUGACACUGAGGCGCGAGAGCGUGGGGAGCAAACAGG
rnacentral:rRNA from 1 species